GAACAUGGAACAUUUACCAUGAGUGAAGUGGUGGUGGUGCCUGACUGCCCUCUCUCCAUAUCCUCAGUACUAGAAGGACAAGCUCUCUGAAGCAUAUUCACCUGAAAAGACAUGGCUGAGCUUACCUUCUGAUGUUACCAGCUCAUCACCCUGAUGCUGGUGCACACACAGAGCUUCUAGAACAAUGAAAGAUUAUUCAGAAUUUCAAAAUCAAAAUUUGGACAACACUUAUAAAGAGAAGGAGCAAGAAGGAGAGAGACCCUUCUGAAAGUGUCUCAAUACCAUGAUUCACCCCCAGCUUUCAGCCAGCCCUGUUUCCUGGGUUAGCGUGUGCCUACUAUACUCAGGACAUCCUUUGACAAGGUGCUUGAGGACCUCUGGAGUAUGCAGAAAGAGCCAAGCCAUAGAGCUAGAGGAGAUCCUUCAGCAAGUGCCUCCAGACCAGAUCAUCAGGCCAUUGCCAGAUGUACUUAGGUGUUAGGGAGGCAUCCAGUUGCCUAACCUGAUCACUUCUCACAGGGCAUUCUCCUCAGAGCACAGUCAUGGACAACCUUCAGCAGAGUCACCUGAAGAGCUCACUAAAAUUGCAGACACCCCCAGACCUUCUCAUUUGGAAAUCCUGGGCGACCUAGGAACCUAGAUCUUUAAA